UGCCGGUGACAAACCGGAGGAAGGUGGGGAUGACGUCAAGUCAUCAUGCCCCUUACGCCUUGGGCUACACACGUACUACAAUGGCCGGGACAAAGAGUCGCAAGCAUGCGAAUGCAAGCUAAUCUCAUAAACCCGGUCUUAGUUCAGAUUGCAGGCUGCAACUCGCCUGCAUGAAGGCGGAAUCGCUAGUAAUCGCAGGUCAGCAUACUGCGGUGAAUACGUUCCCGGGCCUUGUACACACCGCCCGUCACACCAUGGAAGCUGGUCACGCCCGAAGUCGUUAUCUCAACCCGCAAGGGAGGGAGGCGCCUAAGGCAGGGCUGGUGACUGGGGUGAAGUCGUAACAAGGUAGCCGUACCGGAAGGUGCGGCUGGAUCACCUCCUUA
rnacentral:rRNA from 1 species